rnacentral:lncRNA from 11 species
AUUGCUGUGACUUGCUGAAGCCAUCCAGAAUGGAGUCAUAAAAGGAUGAUAAUCUGCUCGCUUGGGAAAACACUUAUUUGCUCCUGGCUGUUCUUUGUCAUCUUUGCUCUGCAGCACUCAGUAUAGAGCCAUCAUUGCAGUACAGUAAUCUACUCCACUUUCCUGCAUUUAUAUUAUUGUUGAGGAAUUCUAGCUGCCUCCCGCUGUCUCCUUUAUUGUUAUUAUCUUUCCAUACUUUACCACCCUUUUUGUGUCCAUUAUACUUUAGCAACCAUAUAUUAUAUUGACUCUUAUUAUGAUCUAACACAACUGCAAAAUAUGUUUUGGCAGCUCCCUUGUCUGGAUUCAAUUAUUUGCCUUUUCACCGAGAGAAGAACUACGAUUUCAUAAGGGUUCAGCCUUCUGUCACCCUUUUCUGCCUUUGCAAAGUUUUCAGUUACCUUGGAGCAACAUUUUUUUCUUCCCUUUGUAAUGAAGACUGGUGUUUCUGCCCAAUUGUCCCCAACCCACACACAAUUUCCCCAUAAUCUACUUAUGUCUGCAUAAUGUUAUGAUUAAAAAAAAUAAACUGUGGUUCU